GUAGGUGAACCUGCGGAAGGAUCAUUAACAUAUUCCAUCCAAACACGCGUCUUACAUCGGUCAUUAACAGUCGCCGACCCCCACCAUAGGGUUGUGUGAUUGAACAUGGCUUGGUGGUUAUAACAGACACACAUUUACACUUUUGACAAAAUUUAUAACUAUUGACUGACUGAUUAACACCAGUCGCAACAAUCAAUAUCUUAUACAACUUUUAACAAUGGAUCUCUUGGCUCUUGCAUCGAUGAAGAAC
rnacentral:misc_RNA from 1 species